rnacentral:rRNA from 1 species
CCUACGGGAGGCAGCAGUGAGGAAUAUUGGUCAAUGGGCUUAAGCCUGAACCAGCCAAGUCGCGUGAGGGAAGACUGCCCUAUGGGUUGUAAACCUCUUUUGUCAGGGAGCAACGCCGGCUACGUGUAGCCGGACUGAGAGUACCUGAAGAAAAAGCAUCGGCUAAAUCCGUGCCAGCAGCCGCGGUAAUACGGAGGACGCGAGCGUUAUCCGGUUUUAUGGGGUUUAAAGGGUGCGUAGGCGGUUUUUAAUGUUAGUGGUUAAACGUCGGGGCUUCACCUUGAUUUGCCAUUAAUACUGGAAGACUCGAGUUCAGACGAGGUAGGCGGAAUACGUUAAGUAGCGGUGAAAUGCUUAGAUAUAACUUAGAACUCCGAUAGCGAAGGCAGCUUACCAGACUGCGACUGACGCUGAAGCACGAGAGCGUGGGUAGCGAACAGGAUUAGAUACCCUAGUAGUC